UAGCAUAUCAAUAAGCGGAGGAAAAGAAACCAACCGGGAUUGCCUUAGUAACGGCGAGUGAAGCGGCAAAAGCUCAAAUUUGAAAUCUGGCACCUUCGGUGCCCGAGUUGUAAUUUGUAGAAGGUAACUUUGGGGCUGGUCCUUGUCUAUGUUCCUUGGAACAGGACGUCAUAGAGGGUGAGAAUCCCGUGUGGCGAGGAUCCCAGUUCUUUGUAAAGUGCUUUCGAAGAGUCGAGUUGUUUGGGAAUGCAGCUCUAAGUGGGUGGUAAAUUCCAUCUAAAGCUAAAUAUUGGCGAGAGACCGAUAGCGAACAAGUACAGUGAUGGAAAGAUGAAAAGAACUUUGAAAAGAGAGUGAAAAAGUACGUGAAAUUGUUGAAAGGGAAGGGCAUUUGAUCAGACAUGGUGUUUUGCGCCCUCUGCUCCUUGUGGGUGGGGGAAUCUCGCAGCUCACUGGGCCAGCAUCAGUUUUGGCGGCAGGAUAAAUCUGCAGGAAUGUAGCUUGCCUCGGUAAGUGUUAUAUCCUGUAGAAAUACUGCCAGCUGGGACUGAGGACUGCGACUUUACGUCAAGGAUGCUGGCAUAAUGGUUAUAUGCCGCCCGUCUUGAAACACGGACCAAGGAGUCUAACGUCUAUGCGAGUGUUUGGGUGUAAAACCCGUACGCGUAAUGAAAGUGAACGUAGGUUGGGGCCUCGCAAGAGGUGCACAAUCGACCGAUCCUGAUGUCUUCGGAUGGAUUUGAGUAAGAGCAUAGCUGUUGGGACCCGAAAUGAUGGUGAACUAUGCCUGAAUAGGGUGAAGCCAGAGGAAACUCUGGUGGAGGCUCGUAGCGGUUCUGACGUGCAAAUCGAUCGUCGAAUUUGGGUAUAGGGGCGAAAGACUAAUCG
rnacentral:rRNA from 1 species